rnacentral:rRNA from 1 species
AAUCAACGCUGGCGGCGUGCCUCAGACAUGCAAGUCGAACGAUUAAAGCUCCCUUCGGGGAGUGCAUAGAGUGGCGCACGGGUGAGUAACACGUAAGUAAUCUACCUUCGAGUGGGAAUAACGUCCGGAAACGGACGCUAAUACCGCAUAAUGCAGCGGCAUCGCAAGAUGACAGUUGUUAAAGAUUUAUCGCUUGAAGAGGAGCUUGGGGCAGAUUAGCUAGUUGGUAAGGUAAUGGCUUACCAAGGCUACGAUCUGUAACCGGUCUAAGAGGACGGUCGGUCACACUGACACUGAAUAACGGGUCAGACUCCUACGGGAGGCAGCAGUCGGGAAUUUGGGCAAUGGGGGAAACCCUGACCCAGCAACGCCGCGUGAAGGAUGAAGUAUUUCGGUAUGUAAACUUCGCAAGAACGGGAAGAAUAAGUAGGGGACAAUACCCCCUAUGAUGACGGUACCGUUUGUAAGCUCCGGCUAAC